rnacentral:rRNA from 1 species
AUGCGCCGAUCUCUCUUUGUGAAAAUUGUUCAAGCUUGCGAGGCAAAUUGUCGGUAUUUUACUCAAAGAAGAAAUGUCGUGGGCUUGAAGGGAUUUAGUGCAUAUCAAAAAAUCUCGGCAACUAUGUGGGUGAUUGCAUACGGCGUUCCGGCUGACUAUGCCGAUGAGUACCUUCGCAUUGAUGAAGAUACCACAAUUGAGUCAGUGCGUAGGUUUGCCAAAGUGAUCAUCCGUGUGUUUGGUCCUGAAUAUCUUCGGGCACCCAACGAGGAAGACACACAAAAAUUGAUGGCAUCUAAUGAGAGGAGAGGUUGGCCUGACAUGCUAGGUAGCAUUGACUGCAUGCAUUGGAAUUGG